GACGAACGCUGGCGGCGUGCUUAACACAUGCAAGUCGAACGAAGAGCGACGGAAGCUUGCUUCUAUCAAUCCUAGUGGCGAACGGGUGAGUAACGCGUAAUCAACCUGCCCUUCAGAGGGGGACAACAGUUGGAAACGACUGCUAAUACCGCAUACGAUCUAAUCUCGGCAUCGAGGAUGGAUGAAAGGUGGCCUCUACAUGUAAGCUAUCACUGAAGGAGGGGAUUGCGUCUGAUUAGCUAGUUGGAGGGGUAACGGCCCACCAAGGCGAUGAUCAGUAGCCGGUCUGAGAGGAUGAACGGCCACAUUGGGACUGAGACACGGCCCAGACUCCUACGGGAGGCAGCAGUGGGGAAUCUUCCGCAAUGGACGAAAGUCUGACGGAGCAACGCCGCGUGAGUGAUGACGGCCUUCGGGUUGUAAAGCUCUGUUAAUCGGGACGAAAGGCCUUCUUGCGAAUAGUGAGAAGGAUUGACGGUACCGGAAUAGAAAGCCACGGCUAACUACGUG
rnacentral:rRNA from 1 species